CAGGAGGCUCCCAUGGAGCCAAGAACCCUAACUUCAUCUUUUCAUCAAAUUGAAAGGCCAAACGAAGCUUAAAUUCAUAACCAAACAUAGAAUAACGAUCACCUUCACAAGGGGAUCAUAAGUUGAUGCUUAGAAAGCGGCAAGGAAGCUUGGGAAAGAAGCGGGUCAAACAGGACUUAUGCGCACGGGAAUCUUACUUGGAUGUGAGG